GGCUCCAUAGCUCAGGGGUAGGGCACUGGCCUAAUGAACCAGGAGUCAUGAGUUCAAGUUUAACUGGAGCCU
rfam:Patagioenas fasciata monilis isolate BTP2013 Sc31e1R_43, whole genome shotgun sequence.